GGAAGGGAUCCGGCCGGAUGAGGAGCCCGGUUGCUAACCGGGUACGGGCCCACCCCGCGCGGGUUCGAGUCCCGCCCCUUCCG
rnacentral:tRNA from 1 species